AGGAGGCGGGCCAUGGGGGUAUGGCCAGGCGCUGCUCGGGCCCUGGGAGGCGGAGCUUAGGGAGGCGCCGGUGUCGGGAGGAACCCAGGGACUGGGAGUCCCUGUAUCCUGAGAUGGAGUCACCUGAGAAUCCACAGCAAGUCCUAACCAGGGAUGGGUCUGCGUGGUUAAGGAAGGUUGGCUUCAGAACUGGGCCAGGGGCACUGCUUUGCUUUUGCUGUUUUGAUCAGCUCUCU
rnacentral:lncRNA from 1 species